GGCAGUAGCUAAGCGCUGUCGUCGGGACGAAGAGUUGUUGCUGUUUGAUAAAGACAGCAGCUGUAGCACAGAUUCGAGCACAAGGUCCUCUUCGGACAGCAGCGGCGACGACGAGAAUUUAGCAUUGUAUGAGCAGAUGUUCGAGCAGCUUUUUCCCCGCCGUAGAAGCGACCGAAGGUCGAGUCGUAUGUGGAAAAGACGGUCGCCGCUUCUUCGGACGAAGAGGUAUGCUGCCAAUAAAUCCUGCAUACGGGAUGUCGCAGGGCGAUCUGAGGUUUGGGAAAGCACGCAUCACAGGAUGAUGUACCGCGUCAUGGUGUUUCUUCUGGACAUCGCACCCCGCAUCGUGACCUUCCCAGAUGACUUGCAGAAGCUUGCUAAUGCGUUUGAACAGGGGCUCUUCAAGCCGGCGUAGAACAGUACACUGACCAAUGCCCGCGGUGCCAGGAUGCCCCCACGCUCCACCAAAUAACGUGGGCCUGCCAGAAAACAAAUGCGGCACCAAUAAUACCCAAAUGCGAGUGCGCAACCAUGGGAAGGAAUGCUCUCCAGCGACCGUCAGAAC